CAACUGUCCACGGAGGAUGUGUAUAGGAAAGAGAUCAUCUAUACAAACCUGAGCGCUUAAAUUAGCGUACGAAGUUUUACACUCGUUCUCGUUUAAAUCAGGAAUCAAGCGGAUUGUUUAUAUUAUAUAGACACAAUGCUUGACAUAGUUGAGAUUGAUCCUCUACAUUAGAGGUGAGAAGUUGAUGAGGGAAACAUCUCAGGUAUCUGAGAGCAUAUUAACUCAU
rnacentral:ribozyme from 1 species